UUAGAACGUCGUGAGACAGUUCGGUCCCUAUCUGCCGUGGGCGUUGGAGAUUUGAGAAGAGCUGCUCCUAGUACGAGAGGACCGGAGUGGACGCACCUCUGGUGUUCCGGUUGUCACGCCAGUGGCAUUGCCGGGUAGCUAUGUGCGGACAGGAUAACCGCUGAAAGCAUCUAAGCGGGAAGCCCCCUUCAAGAUGAGAUCUCCCCGAGGCCUCGAGCCUCCUGAAGGGCCCAGCGAGACCAGCUGGUUGAUAGGCCGGAUGUGGAAGCGCUGCAAGGCGUUGAGCUAACCGGUACUAAUGGCCCGUGAGGCUUGACCAU
rnacentral:rRNA from 1 species